rnacentral:rRNA from 1 species
UACGUAGGGGGCGAGCGUUGUCCGGAAUCAUUGGGCGUAAAGCGCGUGUAGGCGGCCCGGUAAGUCCGCUGUGAAAGUCCAGGGCUCAACCCUGGGAUGCCGGUGGAUACUGUCGGGCUCGAGUCCGGAAGAGGCGAGUGGAAUUCCUGGUGUAGCGGUGAAAUGCGCAGAUAUCAGGAGGAACACCGAUGGCGAAGGCAGCUCGCUGGGACGGUACUGACGCUGAGGCGCGAAAGCGUGGGGAGCAAACAGG